UCAUGACGCCAGGGACUGUGAGGUGUUGUUGUUUAUUUUCUUUUCUUUUCUUUCCAAUCUCACCCGGGCGGCCGCGCUACAGUUGACAAACGGCCAACUAGUUCACUCUUUACCUCUUUUCGGAUAUAGAUGAUUAAUGAUUUCUCCAAAUUAUCUUGUGACCUGGGACACUAUUAUCACAAUCAACUUUAAGAAGAGAUUAAAGGGACUACAUACAGUGGCAAAAUCAAGAAGAUUUAAGGCAAAACAGAUACAAUGUAUGAAAAAACAUAAUUUAAAACCCACCAGGAACAUUCACUGAGGAUUUAUGUGCCAAAUGUGAACAACUCUGUGAGAUGGGAGCUCUCAUUAUCCUCAUUUGCAUGAAGAGGAAAAUGAAGCACAGAAAAUUCGCUGAUCUUGAUUUAUUUGCAAAACCUGGAGGAUUCAUAUUGCUGAGAGAUUUGGUGUUCAACAAACCAUUCUAGAUGACCUGAAGGGACUCUUCCUAAGAAAUUAGAAAGAAGAUAUGGGAGGUGUGAAUCUGUAGGCGUGUGUGUGUGGCGAGGCCAGUGAGAGUAGUAUAAGG